rnacentral:rRNA from 1 species
GAUGAACGCUGGCGGCGUGCCUAAUACAUGCAAGUCGAGCGAACGGACGAGAAGCUUGCUUCUCUGAUGUUAGCGGCGGACGGGUGAGUAACACGUGGAUAACCUACCUAUAAGACUGGGCUAACUUCGGGAAACCGGAGCUAAUACCGGAUAAUAUUUUGAACCGCAUGGUUCAAAAGUGAAAGACGGUCUUGCUGUCACUUAUAGAUGGAUCCGCGCUGCAUUAGCUAGUUGGUAAGGUAACGGCUUACCAAGGCAACGAUGUAUAGCCGACCUGAGAGGGUGAUCGGCCACACUGGAACUGAGACACGGUCCAGACUCCUACGGGAGGCAGCAGUAGGGAAUCUUCCGCAAUGGGCGAAAGCCUGACGGAGCAACGCCGCGUGAGUGAUGAAGGUCUUCGGAUCGUAAAACUCUGUUAUUAGGGAAGAACAUAUGUGUAAGUAACUGUGCACAUCUUGACGGUACCUAAUCAGAAAGCCACGGCUAACUACGUG